GACUUUUUGUACUUUAUAAGCGUGAUGAUUGGGUGUUCCCGUGUGAGAUGUGCCACCCUUGAACCUUGUUAUGACGUUGGCACAUUGCGCGUCUGACA
ensembl:snoRNA